rnacentral:rRNA from 1 species
CCUACGGGAGGCAGCAGUGAGGAAUAUUGGUCAAUGGGCGUAAGCCUGAACCAGCCAAGUCGCGUGAGGGAUGAAGGCUCUAUGGAUCGUAAACAUCUUUUAUAAGGGGAUAAAGUGCGGGACGUGUACCGUCUUCGAUGUACCUUAUGAAUAAGGAUCGGCUAACUCAGUGCCAGCAGCCGCGGUAAUACGGAGGAUCCGAUCGUUAUCCGGAUUUAUUGGGUUUAAAGGGUGCGUAGGCGGCCUUGUAAGUCAGCGGUGAAAGCCUGUGGCUCAACCGUAGAAUUGCAUUCGAAACUGGAAGGCUUGAGUAUGGUAGAGGCAGGUGGAAGUCGUGGUGUAGCGGUGAAAUGCGUAGAGA